rnacentral:rRNA from 1 species
GCGCGCAGGCGGUUUCUUAAGUCUGAUGUGAAAGCCCCCGGCUCAACCGGGGAGGGUCAUUGGAAACUGGGGAACUUGAGUGCAGAAGAGGAGAGUGGAAUUCCACGUGUAGCGGUGAAAUGCGUAGAGAUGUGGAGGAACACCAGUGGCGAAGGCGACUCUCUGGUCUGUAACUGACGCUGAGGCGCGAAAGCGUGGGGAGCGAACAGGAUUAGAUACCCUGGUAGUCCACGCCGUAAACGAUGAGUGCUAAGUGUUAGAGGGUUUCCGCCCUUUAGUGCUGCAGCAAACGCAUUAAGCACUCCGCCUGGGGAGUACGGUCGCAA